rnacentral:tRNA from 12 species
UAUCGAUUGGCCCAGUGGUUAAGGCCCCUGCUUUACAGUAAAAUCGCAGGGGAUCGCAGGAACCCUGCAUCGAUCA